AGCGAACGCUGGCGGCAGGCCUAACACAUGCAAGUCGAACGAGACCUUCGGGUCUAGUGGCGGACGGGUGAGUAACACGUGGGAGCGUGCCUUUCGGUUCGGAAUAACUCAGGGAAACUUGUGCUAAUACCGAAUGUGCCCUUCGGGGGAAGGAUUUAUCGCCUUUAGAGCGGCCCGCGUCUGAUUAGCUAGUUGGUGAGGUAAAGGCCCACCAAGGCGACGAUCAGUAGCUGGUCUGAGCGGAUGACCAGCCACAUUGGGACUGAGACACGGCCCAGACUCCUACGGGAGGCAGCAGUGGGGAGUCUUGCGCAAUGGGCGAAAGCCUGACGCAGCCAUGCCGCGUGAAUGAUGAAGGUCUUAGGAUUGUAAAAUUCUUUCACCGGGGACGAUAAUGACAGUACCCGGAGAAGAAGCCCCGGCUAACUUCGUGCCAGCAGCCGCGGUAAAAC
rnacentral:rRNA from 1 species